rnacentral:rRNA from 1 species
AGAGUUUGAUCCUGGCUCAGAUUGAACGCUGGCGGCAGGCCUAACACAUGCAAGUCGAGCGGUAGCACAGGGGAGCUUGCUCCCUGGGUGACGAGCGGCGGACGGGUGAGUAAUGUCUGGGAAACUGCCUUAUGGAGGGGGAUAACUACUGGAAACGGUAGCUAAUACCGCAUAACGUCGCAAGACCAAAGAGGGGGACCUUCGGGCCUCUUGCCAUCAGAUGUGCCCAGAUGGGAUUAGCUAGUAGGU